rnacentral:tRNA from 3 species
GGAGGGGUGGGAGAGUGGUUAAAUCCAUCAGACUGUAAAUCUGACGCCUUAGGCUACGCUGGUUCGAAUCCAGCCCCCUCCACCA